rnacentral:rRNA from 1 species
UCCGGUUGAUCCUGCCGGCGGCUACUGCUAUCAGGUUUCGACUAAGCCAUGCGAGUCAAGGGGUCGUAAGACACCGGCGUACUGCUCAGUAACACGCGGACAAUCUACCCCCAGGUGGGGGAUAACCUCGGGAAACUGAGGCUAAUACCCCAUAGUUGUCAUGUGCUGGAAUGCUUUGACGAUGAAAGAAUUUCGCCUGAGGAUGAGUCUGCGGCCUAUCAGGUAGUAUGUGGUGUAAAGGACCACAUAGCCUAAGACGGGUACGGGCCUUGAAAGAGGGAGCCCGGAGAUGGACUCUGAGACACUAGUCCAGGCCCUACGGGGCGCAGCAGGCGCGAAAACUGUGCAAUGCGCGCAAGCGCGACACGGGAAGCCUGAGUGCCUUAACUAUGUUAAGGCUUUUCUUGAUCCUAAAAAGCUCAAGGAAUAAGAGCUGGGUAAGACGGGUGCCAGCCGCCGCGGUAACACCCGCGGCUCGAGUGGUAGUCACUUUUAUUGAGCCUAAAGCGUUUGUAGCCGGAUUUGUAAAUCUCUAGGAAAAUACUUCUGCUUAACUGAAGAAAUUUUGGAGAGACUGCAAAUCUAGGGACCGGGUGAGGUUGAAUGUACUUCUGGGGUAGGGGUAAAAUCCUGUAAUCCUGGAAGGACGACCGGUGGCGAAGGCGUUCAACUAGAACGGAUCCGACGGUGAGGAACGAAGGCUAGGGGAGCAAACCGGAUUAGAUACCCGGGUAGUCCUAGCUGUAAACACUGCCCACUUGGUGUUGCAUCUCCGGUAAGGGGGUGCAGUGCCGUAGCGAAGGUGUUAAGUGGGCCGCUUGGGGAGUAUGGUCGCAAGGCUGAAACUUAAAGGAAUUGGCGGGGGAGCACCGCAACGGGAGGAGCGUGCGGUUUAAUUGGAUUCAACGCCGGAAAACUCACCGGAGGCGACCUGUGUAUGAGAGUCAACCUGAUGAAUUUACUCGAUAGCAGGAGAGGUGGUGCAUGGCCGUCGUCAGCUCGUACCGUAGGGCGUUCACUUAAGUGUGAUAACGAGCGAGACCCCCAUCUUCAAUUGCUAAGCUAACCGUGAGGUUGGUAGAACUUUGAAGGGACCGCCAGUGCAGAACUGGAGGAAGGAGGGGUCGACG